rnacentral:misc_RNA from 1 species
GAUGAAGAACGCAGCGAAAUGCGAUAAGUAAUGUGAAUUGCAGAAUUCAGUGAAUCAUCGAAUCUUUGAACGCACAUUGCGCCCGCUAGUAUUCUGGCGGGCAUGCCUGUCCGAGCGUCAUUUCAACCCUCAAGCCCCCGGGCUUGGUGUUGGGGAUCGGCGAGCCUCCGCGCCCGCCGUCCCCUAAAUCUAGUGGCGGUCUCGCUGUAGCUUCCUCUGCGUAGUAGCACACCUCGCACUGGGAAACAGCGCGGCCACGCCGUUAAACCCCCAACUUCUGAACGUUUGACCUCGGGUCAGGUAGGAAUACCCGCUGAACUUAAGCAUAUCAAUAAGCGGAGGA